GCUCACCACAUACUGCUUAACCCCAGUUACUUAAUCAGAUUUGAAAGAGGGAACUCAUUCUUCCUCUUUGCUCUGCGCUGCUAAUUCCACCGCAACGAUGUGUUUGCUCGAGUGAAUAAUAACUGCUCAAAGUCAAGACUUGGCUGGACUUGACCUCCAUGUCUUCACUGUAAACUACUGCCCUGUUUGUGGGUUCAGGCAGUGGUUGUCUGCACAACAUGAACACAUAAUGAUGGACCUGUGAGGAGAGAAGACUCUGGACCUGUGCAACCCCUCAGAAGUGCCUCUCUCCCUGAGCUCACUCAGUAGCUGCCCACUACAAACAUGUGUUGCACCAGACCUCUCAGUUAUUGAAAACCUCUCUGUCCAGUGCUGCGUGUCCUCCCUCUCCAGUCCAAGCUCUCCAGUUCACACCACAAUUGGAAGGAAGUGGGUGGCUGUGUUCUUCCUGCG